UCUUUCUCUUUCUCUUUCUCUUUCUCUUUCUCUUUCUCUUUCUCUUCCUCUUUCUCUGUGAUGUAUUUCCCCAAAUACAUCACAAAUACAUCACAAAUACAUCACAAAAUGACUUUUCUCAGUACCCAACCAUCUCAUACCUCCUUGUUCUGUUCUCACCUGUUUGAUCAUAGAGUAGCUAUCAGUAGCAAUCAUUUUGUAAACAAAUGGGAAUGUAGGGAUUUAGGGAUGAUUUGCAGGACUUUGAGUGAUGUGCAUGCUGUUGCUGUCUUCAAAAAGGAAAAGAGAGCUCUACAGCAGAAGCCAGGAGGUGAGCUGGGCUGGCCUCUCUCUGCCUGCCUAUGCUCCUUUCUUCCCCCUGGAAAGUUCACUACGUGA
rnacentral:lncRNA from 1 species